GCGAGUGUAGCUCAGGGGUAGAGCGCAACCUUGCCAAGGUUGAUGUCGCGCGUUCGAAUCGCGUCACUCGCU
rnacentral:tRNA from 8 species